GAUGAACGCUGGCGGCGUGCCUAAUACAUGCAAGUCGAGCGAACUGAUUAGAAGCUUGCUUCUAUGACGUUAGCGGCGGACGGGUGAGUAACACGUGGGCAACCUGCCUGUAAGACUGGGAUAACUUCGGGAAACCGAAGCUAAUACCGGAUAGGAUCCUCCCCUUCAUGGGAGAUGAUUGAAAGAUGGUUUCGGCUAUCACUUACAGAUGGGCCCGCGGUGCAUUAGCUAGUUGGUGAGGUAACGGCUCACCAAGGCAACGAUGCAUAGCCGACCUGAGAGGGUGAUCGGCCACACUGGGACUGAGACACGGCCCAGACUCCUACGGGAGGCAGCAGUAGGGAAUCUUCCGCAAUGGACGAAAGUCUGACGGAGCAACGCCGCGUGAGUGAUGAAGGCUUUCGGGUCGUAAAACUCUGUUGUUAGGGAAGAACAAGUACGAGAGUAACUGCUCGUACCUUGACGGUACCUAACCAGAAAGCCACGGCUGACUACGUGCCAGCCGCCGCAGUAAAAC
rnacentral:rRNA from 1 species